CAGCCGCCGCGGUAAUACGUAGGUGGCAAGCGCUGUCCGGAAUUAUUGGGCGUAAAGGGCUCGCAGGCGGUUUCUUAAGUCUGAUGUGAAAGCCCCCGGCUCAACCGGGGAGGGUCAUUGGAAACUGGGAAACUUGAGUGCAGAAGAGGAGAGUGGAAUUCCACGUGUAGCGGUGAAAUGCGUAGAGAUGUGGAGGAACACCAGCGGCGAAGGCGACUCUCUGGUCUGUAACUGACGCUGAGGAGCGAAAGCGUGGGGAGCGAACAGGAUUAGAUACCCCCGUAGUCCCUGUCUCUUAUAC
rnacentral:rRNA from 1 species